GAAGCCGACAGUCGCCACCAGCCAGGCGGCGAAGCGGCCUGCGGUCCGCCAGUGCGCUAAACAGCAUUGCCCUCUGCGGCGGGACACAGGGAGCACCCCAGACGGAGACGGAGAAUUCUUCCUGGACAUCUCGGGAAUCGGAAGACAAGUGACAGGCGGGGCCUGCAUGCAAACUUCUCCCAGGGGCCUUUGGACAGUGCCUCUCCGCUGCUUCGCCAAGGAAGAACAUGAAGCUUCCGACGUGUUCUCAAGAGAGGACACUGACGGCGAUGAAUCGCACCCCGAUUGGCAUUCCCAUUCUCGAAGGAACGCAUGCCCCGGGACGUGAGUGGCGGAUGCCAGCUGCCCUGGACCGUCAGACUGCUGCAACCAAGGCAGAGCCUGCAUUAUGGGAAUCGCCUCACACAGUUGUGUAACACGGCGCAAAACGGGUGCUGGCGUGUGGAUCUACGCACGACCUUCGAGUGUGUGUUUCUCGGAGCAGAAGAGUGUGGUAGUGAAAUGGGAGGAGGCGUCUCUUCGCUCCAUUAAGGGACGACGCCGUUCCGAAACGGCUGAUGGGAGGACGGAAAGGCACGAUGCUCACAGUGUUCAGGAUCGACGAAGGCAGUUGCCUCUUGCGGAGGGAGAUUUUUUGACUGCACGUUGGGUGCAUCUGAAAUUCGCCAAUAGGGAGUCACCUCUUGUUAGCGGGAGACCGUUUUUUACAUCAUGUCGAGAACUGGCGGAACAAACUUUCAGGGUAGUCACACUACCACGCUGUGUCGAUCGGCGCCCUACGUUCGCGUACCGGGGUAGAGAAGCUGCACAAGAAAUCACCACAGUUCUGAGGCGAAAUGAUGUUUAGGCGCGUGAGGGCUGGGCUAACAGAAAACGUCGAUCGUUGCGUUUUUCCCAGAGGCCUUUGAAGCGGUCGGCGUGGAGAAAAGGGGGGUACCAUCUUUUUUGGACCCGCAGCCCCCGCUUUUGAGGGUCACGUUUCGAAGGGAUGUGCGGAGACACACUACAGCGGGGGAGACUGGGACGUUGCCCAGAGCA
rnacentral:lncRNA from 1 species